UGAGGAAUAUUGCGCAAUGGGGGCAACCCUGACGCAGCAACGCCGCGUGAGUGAGGAAGGUUUUCGGAUCGUAAAGCUCUGUCGAGUGGGAAGAAAUGUAUCAUGGCUAAUAUCCAUGAUACUUGACGGUACCGCUAAAGGAAGCACCGGCUAACUCCGUGCCAGCAGCCGCGGUAAUACGGGGGGUGCAAGCGUUGUUCGGAAUUAUUGGGCGUAAAGAGCGUGUAGGCGGCUGAAUAAGUCAGAUGUGAAAUCCCUGGGCUUAACUCAGGAAGUGCAUUUGAAACUAUUCAGCUCGAGUAGGGGAGAGGAAAGUGGAAUUCCUGGUGUAGAGGUGAAAUUCGUAGAUAUCAGGAGGAACACCGGUGGCGAAGGCGACUUUCUGGCCCUAUACUGACGCUGAGACGCGAGAGCGUGGGUAGCAAACA
rnacentral:rRNA from 1 species